GCAGCAGUGGGGAAUCUUCCGCAAUGGACGAAAGUCUGACGGAGCAACGCCGCGUGUAUGAUGAAGGUCUUCGGAUUGUAAAGUACUGUCUUUGGGGAAGAAUGAUUGGAUUGAAAAUAUUGAGCCAAUAUGACGGUACCCAAGGAGGAAGCCCCGGCUAACUACGUGCCAGCAGCCGCGGUAAUACGUAGGGGGCAAGCGUUGUCCGGAAUUAUUGGGCGUAAAGGGCGCGUAGGCGGAUAGUUAAGUCCGGUGUGAAAGAUCAGGGCUCAACCCUGAGAGUGCAUCGGAAACUGGUUAUCUUGAGGACAGGAGAGGAAAGUGGAAUUCCACGUGUAGCGGUGAAAUGCGUAGAUAUGUGGAGGAACACCAGUGGCGAAGGCGACUUUCUGGACUGUAACUGACGCUGAGGCGCGAAAGCGUGGGGAGCAAACAGGAUUAGAUACCCUGGUAGUCCACGCUGUAAACGAUGAGUGCUAGGUGUAGGAGGUAUCGACCCCCCCUGUGCCGCAGUUAACACAAUAAGCACUCCGCCUGGGGAGUACGGCCGCAAGGUUGA
rnacentral:rRNA from 1 species